AAAAGCAGUAAAUGCGAAAAAGAAAAAGAUUACAUUUAGACUACUCCUAGAAAAGCGAUAAAAUGCAGAGAAAAUAAGGGUGGUCUUCUCGUUCAGGAUGGAGAAAGAUCUCUAUUGCAGUCUUCAAAGUUACUAUUUAUAAUAUCUUUAAGCCCACUUUAUUGGUCGCUUGAAAGUAGUGGAGGGAGUGGUUGUAACUAUGAUCGUGGAAGUUAAACUAACUCCUGAUGGAAGUUACGCUAACUCCUCAUAGAAGUUAUGCCCCACUUCUCAACCGUUCCCGCCUAAACUCUCUUGAUCUUCAGGCGCCUUAUUGCCGACUCCUGGUGUACCAAGUGUCCUUAUUUCUUUGGCUUAUACGUGAUUUAGAUCGGCAUGUCUCUAUUUUGGCCUCAACAACCGUAUUUCUUUUUGUAAUUUUUUUAUUAUUCAUAAGUCAAAAAAAUAGAAUAAGGUGUGAAUUUGAAUACGAUGAUUCAAUCACGGUGUUUAACUUAAAAUUGUCAAUGAGAUACUCACGUAAUAAUAAGAGGAUCAAUAUACAAAUAUAAAUUUAUUAGUGCCAUUUAUAAAAAAUAAUUUUUGCUUGGGUUAAAUGUCAAAAAAGUUCUAAGAAAUUAUUG
rnacentral:lncRNA from 1 species